UACGUAGGUGGCAAGCGUUGUCCGGAUUUAUUGGGCGUAAAGCGCUCGCAGGCGGUCUUUUAAGUCUGAUGUGAAAGCCCACGGCUUAACCGUGGAGGGUCAUUGGAAACUGGAGGACUUGAGUGCAGAAGAGGAGAGUGGAAUUCCAUGUGUAGCGGUGAAAUGCGUAGAGAUAUGGAGGAACACCAGUGGCGAAGGCGACUCUCUGGUCUGUAACUGACGCUGAGGAGCGAAAGCGUGGGUAGCGAACAGG
rnacentral:rRNA from 1 species